AUUGAACGCUGGCGGCAUGCCUUACACAUGCAAGUCGAACGGCAGCACGGGUGCUUGCACCUGGUGGCGAGUGGCGAACGGGUGAGUAAUAUAUCGGAACGUACCUUAUUGUGGGGGAUAACGCAGCGAAAGCUGUGCUAAUACCGCAUAAUCCCUAAGGGGGAAAGCGGGGGACCGUAAGGCCUCGCGCAAUUAGAGCGGCCGAUACCUGAUUAGCUAGUUGGUGAGGUAAAGGCUCACCGAGGCAGCGAUCAGUAGCUGGUCUGAGAGGACGAUCAGCCACACUGGGACUGAGACACGGCCCAGACUCCUACGGGAGGCAGCAGUGGGGAAUUUUGGACAAUGGGGGCAACCCUGAUCCAGCAAUGCCGCGUGAGUGAAGAAGGCCUUCGGGUUGUAAAGCUCUUUUGUCAGGGAAGAAACAGCAGCUCUAACACAGUUUGCGAAUGACGGUACCUGAAGAAUAAGCACCGGCUAACUACGUGCCAGCCGCCGCAGUAA
rnacentral:rRNA from 1 species